GACGAACGCUGGCGGCGUGCUUAACACAUGCAAGUCGAACGGAAAGGCCUUUUCGGAGGUACUCGAGUGGCGAACGGGUGAGUAACACGUGGGUGAUCUGCCCUGCACUCUGGGAUAAGCCUGGGAAACUGGGUCUAAUACCGGAUAGGACCGCACUUUAGUGUGUGUGGUGGAAAGUUUUUUCGGUGUAGGAUGGGCCCGCGGCCUAUCAGCUUGUUGGUGGGGUAAUGGCCUACCAAGGCGGCGACGGGUAGCCGGACUGAGAGGUUGGUCGGCCACAUUGGGACUGAGAUACGGCCCAGACUCCUACGGGAGGCAGCAGUGGGGAAUAUUGCACAAUGGGCGCGAGCCUGAUGCAGCGACGCCGCGUGGGGGAUGACGGCCUUCGGGUUGGAAACUCCUUUCGCCAGGGACGAAGCGUUUUGUGACGGUACCUGGAGAAGAAGCACCGGCUAACUACGUG
rnacentral:rRNA from 1 species